rnacentral:rRNA from 1 species
GUAGGUGGCAAGCGUUGUCCGGAAUUAUUGGGCGUAAAGCGCGCGCAGGUGGGUUCUUUAAGUCUGAUGUGAAAGCCCCCGGGCUCAACCGGGGAGGGUCAUUGGAAACUGGGGAACUUGAGUGCAGGAGAGGAAAGUGGAAUUCCACGUGUAGCGGUGAAAUGCGUAGAUAUGUGGAGGAACACCAGUGGCGAAGGCGACUUUCUGGCCUGUAACUGACACUGAGGCGCGAAAGCGUGGGGAGCAAACAGGAUUAGAUACCCUGGUAGUCCACGCCGUAAACGAUGAGUGCUAAGUGUUGGGGGGUUUCCGCCCCUCAGUGCUGCAGCUAACGCAUUAAGCGCUCCGCCUGGGGAGUACGGUCGCAAGACUG